GAAACUGGGAUGUGAGCAGGGAGGUGGGGGUGAGCUGGGUCUCUGCCCCUCUAAGCAAAGCCCUCUCUGCCCCAUGCUGCAGGUGCUGGAGUGACCACCCAGGACAUCUGCAGCUCUCCAGGAUUGCAGGAGCAUGGAGGUAACGACCAGACUCCAGUCCUGUACCUCAACGCUUCCAGUGCCAAGGAGGGGGAAAUAAUUCUCUUUCAGUGUGCCAUUGAUUGGCAGUUUCCUGCUACACGAGUUGUCUUCUGCAAGAAUGGGCAGGAGGAGUUCAGCCUGAAAGCCCAGCAGGGCAAGGUCAUCUAUGCUCUGGUCCUGAACAUCACCUCCAGAAGUGCUGGGACGUACAAGUGUGGGUACCAGCAGAGGAACGAGAGCAACUGGGUGAGGAACUCUGCUCUCAGUGCUCCCCAGACCUUGUCUGUGGCAGGCAGCAGCCCCUCACACAAGGCCCAGCUCCCUUCCAGAGGGUCAGCCAUGCCCCUGGAGGUCUGGAUCCUGCGCUCUGCCCUCAGCCUGCUCCUGCUGCUGUCUGCCCCCAUCAUCACCCUCCUCCUGGAAAGAUGCAGCCACGGUGCCCACGA